rnacentral:rRNA from 1 species
AACGAACGCUAGCGGCAUGCCUAACACAUGCAAGUCGAACGAGACCUUCGGGUCUAGUGGCGCACGGGUGCGUAACGCGUGGGAACCUGCCCUUAGGUUCGGAAUAACUCCCCGAAAGGGGUGCUAAUACCGGAUAAUGUCUUCGGACCAAAGAUUUAUCGCCUUUGGAUGGGCCCGCGUUGGAUUAGCUAGUUGGUAGGGUAAAAGCCUCCCAAGGCGACGAUCCAUAGCUGGUCUGAGAGGAUGAUCAGCCACACUGGGACUGAGACACGGCCCAGACUCCUACGGGAGGCAGCAGUGGGGAAUAUUGGACAAUGGGCGAAAGCCUGAUCCAGCAAUGCCGCGUGAGUGAUGAAGGCCUUAGGGUGGUAAAGCUCUUUUACCCGGGAUGAUAAUGACAGUACCGGGAGAAUAAGCUCCGGCUAACUCCGU